rnacentral:rRNA from 1 species
AACGAACGCUGGCGGCAUGCCUAACACAUGCAAGUCGAACGAAGGCUUCGGCCUUAGUGGCGCACGGGUGCGUAACGCGUGGGAAUCUGCCCUUUGGUUCGGAAUAACAGCUGGAAACGGCUGCUAAUACCGGAUGAUGACGAAAGUCCAAAGAUUUAUCGCCAGAGGAUGAGCCCGCGUUGGAUUAGGUAGUUGGUGGGGUAAAGGCCUACCAAGCCGACGAUCCAUAGCUGGUCUGAGAGGAUGAUCAGCCACACUGGGACUGAGACACGGCCCAGACUCCUACGGGAGGCAGCAGUGGGGGAUAUUGGACAAUGGGCGCAAGCCUGAUCCAGCAAUGCCGCGUGAGUGAUGAAGGCCCUAGGGUUGUAAAGCUCUUUUACCCGGGAAGAUAAUGACUGUACCGGGAGAAUAAGCCCCGGCUAACUCCGUG